GGGUUACUCCCUCCCCUGUGUUGUCCAUGCGAGAGAGUUUGUGGUUGGCGCAUGUGUUUUUGGGUCAAUGUCUGCGUGGAUGGUGAUGGAUCAUCCCUUCGACUUGCAAUUUGAUGGCACAUCACUCAGAUCUGGCUUUCCUAAGUUGCAAUGGAGUCUGGCAAAGCAUACAAUGGUGAAGCGAAAGAGGAUAAAAAUUUCAUUCAACAUUAUGGCCAUUGUUUACUAUACCUAUCCUAUCAACGAUAUACCAAAGGUUUAUUGAGACUGAUCCAUGGGUUCCUAAUGAACCAACCAGAAAACAUUAACCACCUCUGUUACUAGGACACAUGGAGUUCUGACUAGGAAACAAAGUCCUAUUCCUUCAUCUGUGAUUUCAAGCUAGACCAUGUGUCUAGGGUGUUUGCGACAGCUAGUCAUGCAGUCAUGACUGACACUAUAUUUAUGGUCUACUACAAACUCGCAAAUCUAUGGGGUUUUUUUGUUAAUUCAAAAAAAAAAAAAAAAUUGAUUGCAGGUAGUGCAUUAAUUUGUAUUCCAAAGACA